GACGAACGCUGGCGGCGUGCUUAACACAUGCAAGUCGAACGGAGAUUCAGCAAUGGAUCUUAGUGGCGAACGGGUGAGUAACGCGUAGGCAAUCUGCCUUCUAGAUGGGGACAACAUCCCGAAAGGGGUGCUAAUACCGAAUGUUGUACCGUUUCCGCAUGGAGAUGAUACUAAAGGUGGCCUCUGAAUAUGCUACCGCUAGAAGAUGAGCCUGCGUCUGAUUAGCUAGUUGGAGGGGUAACGGCCCACCAAGGCUUCGAUCAGUAGCCGGUCUGAGGGGGUGAACGGCCACAAUGGGACUGGGACACGGCCCAGACUCCUACGGGAGGCAGCAGUGGGGAAUCUUCCGCAAUGGACGAAAGUCUGACGGAGCAACGCCGCGUGAGUGAAGAAGGUUUUCGGAUCGUAAAGCUCUUUCGUUAGGGACGAACGUGCUCUUUGUGAAUAAUGAGGAGUAAUGACGGUACCUAAAUAAGAAGCCACGGCUAACUACGUGCCAGCCGCCGCCGUAA
rnacentral:rRNA from 1 species